UGAAAAUACGGGACACAGGAACGAGUUUGUCCGCUCAACGACCCGCCCAGAAGCUCAGAGGGGACCGACUGACCGAGAAGGUAGAGUAAAAAAGAAGCCCUAGCUCCGACGCCGGCGACGGGAUGAGGUCCGGAGGCGCCGCCGAGGUGAUAGAUCUCUCCAGCGACGACGACGAGGAGUCCCUCCCCUUUCCCAGCACCAGCGCCGUCACCAUCGCCCCCUCCUCCCCCCGCGAUGUCAAGCCGUACGAGCUCGCCGAUGUGAAGCCCCUGCUUUACCCGAUCCAGCCCCCAGGCUGCUACGCGCUCGUGCCCGUCAAGGACGAGGAACCCGUGCCCUUGCCACUCGCCGCCGAAGCCCCCAGGGUCCUCCCCCCGCCGCGCCUCUGCCGCCAAUUCUGGAAGUCCGGCGAGUAUGUUGUAGCCCGCCGCAACCCUGACGCCGAUGCCCCUGGUGGGCGGAAUCGGCUGAGGAUCAAUCCAAAGUUCCUGCACUCAAAUGCUACUUCUCACAAGUGGGCAUUUGGCGCCAUUGCUGAGCUUCUUGAUAACGCUAUUGAUGAGGUGAAUAAUGGGGCAACAUUUGUUCGUGUUAAUAAAUUCACAAACCCACGGGAUGGUAGUCCCUCAUUGUUGGUUCAAGAUGAUGGAGGGGGGAUGGAUCCAGAUGCACUGCGAUGUUGCAUGAGCUUUGGAUUUUCAGAUAAGCAGUCUGAUGCUUUCAUCGGACAAUAUGGCAAUGGUUUCAAAACAAGCACAAUGAGGCUUGGAGCAGAUGUGAUUGUUUUUACACAGAACCAAAAAAACUGGACACCGACAAGAAGUAUUGGUCUUCUUUCUUACACAUUUCUGAUGGAAACAGGCUGCGAUGAUGUAUUGGUGCCAACAGUAGACUACCAAUAUGAUCUUACAACUGCUUCAUAUACUCAGCUGUUACGUCAUAAUCAGAAACUCUUCUCUUCUAAUUUGGCGAUCCUUUCGAAAUGGUCCCCUUUUGCUAGUGAAGCUGAGUUGCUUAAACAAUUUGAUGAUAUCGGGGAGCAUGGGACGAAGAUAAUUGUAUUCAACCUCUGGUUCAAUGAUGAUGGGGACAUGGAGCUUGAUUUCAACUCCGAUAAGAAGGAUAUUCUCAUUACUGGGGCACAGAAGAAGGUCAAAACCAACAAACAUGAGAAGCUUGUGACUCAGGACUACAUUGCAAAUCGACUUCGUUAUUCACUUAGAGCAUACGCCUCCAUCUUGUAUCUUCGUGUACCUGAUAGUUUCAGGAUAAUCCUGCGUGGACAGGAUGUGGAACCACAUAAUGUAGUUAAUGAUUUGUUGUAUCGUGAAUGUGUGUUGUAUAAACCACAAAUCGCUGGACUUCCAGAGCUAUCUAUAGUCACAACCAUCGGAUUUGUCAAAGGUGCCCCAGACACUGAUGUACAAGGAUUCAACGUUUAUCACAAGAAUCGUUUAAUAACGCCUUUUUGGAAAGUUGCCAGCAACUCAUAUGGCAAAGGGCGGGGAGUUGUGGGUAUUCUUGAUGCGAGUUUCAUCAAACCUACCCACGACAAGCAGGACUUUGAGAAGUCAGUCCUUUAUCAAAGGCUCGAGAAUCGUUUGAAAGAAAUGACUUACGAAUACUGGGGCCUGCAUUGCCAUCGCCUUGGUUAUGAUAACAAGUCAUUACCUAAAGCAUCCCGUGCACUUUAUCGUGCUAAGCAGACGGGCGCUGGUACUUCGCCAGCAAGUGUUCCUCAUCAGUUACUGACUGCUGAUGUUCCAACAAGCAGCUGUGCACAGAGUAGCAUGGGACAGAAGAGAAAUUUCGAUGCCCUCGGAGUCAUCAGCAACAUAAAUAAUCACCAGACGAAGGCAAGGGAGACUAGCAUGGGCAUCUAUCUUUUCUGUCUGGUUACCCCCACCCACACGCUACACACCGCAAAACUAAUUCUUUUGGUCCUCUUAGAAGCGCAUAUUGCAUCGGGAUGUUAUUCAACGAAAACGAUUUCAUGAAUACAAGACCUUGACACUUGAAAAUGACAAAUUGCGUGAUGAAUGCUUACAAUACGAGGAAUCAGAGAAGCAACUUGUCGAAAAGGAACAAAAGCUCCGGUAUCAAAUUGCUAAGGAAACAAAGAAGUAUGAGGAAUUAUUAGAAGAGCUCAAAUUAUUAGAUGUGAAGUUAGAGACAUAGUGAACAGUUUUUCUUUGCACUUCUCCACCAUGAUAACUCAGCUUGGUUCUUGGCUGACUGUAUUUGAAGGAUACACACGCUGAUUGUCGUGCUAUGUACUAGCUAUGAUUAUGGGAAGAAAUGGUCUCAUUGACCAGCAAUAUCUUCUGGCUACCCUUCACUGGGUAGAGAUGUACAAUUUUGACACAGUAAUCUUUGUAGGGAACCUUGUGUUGAAAUAUAUGCAUGUAUAUAUGUUGUAGAAGGAUGUCUACCAUGUAAUUUGAUUGUCUAAUGAGGUUUCACAAAAAUAUUGCUUCUAUUUGUCAUGAUUCUGAAGUCUCUGAAUAUUACUGAAGAAUGUAUGGUUCGUUUAUGAAGACCAGGCUCUAGUUCAAUGACAUCAACAAACAACUCUUUCAGCA